rnacentral:rRNA from 1 species
UCGGACUGGAGUCUGCAACCCGACUCCACGAAGUUGGAUUCGCUAGUAAUCGCGCAUCAGCCAUGGCGCGGUGAAUACGUUCCCGGGCCUUGUACACACCGCCCGUCAAGCCAUGAGAGUUGGCAACACCCGAAGUCGGUAGUCUAACCGCAAGGAGGACGCCGCCGAAGGUGGGGUCGAUGAUCAGGGUUAAGUCGUAACAAGGUAAC